CAGCAGCCACGGUAAUACGUAGGUCCCGAGCGUUGUCCGGAUUUAUUGGGCGUAAAGCGAGCGCAGGCGGUUAGAUAAGUCUGAAGUUAAAGGCUGUGGCUUAACCAUAGUACGCUUUGGAAACUGUUUAACUUGAGUGCAAGAGGGGAGAGUGGAAUUCCAUGUGUAGCGGCGAAAUGCGUAGAUAUAUGGAGGAACACCGGUGGCGAAAGCGGCUCUCUGGCUUGUAACUGACGCUGAGGCUCGAAAGCGUGGGAAGCAAACAGGAUUAGAUACCCCGUAGUCCCUGUCUCUUAUACAC
rnacentral:rRNA from 1 species